AAACAAUGCAGUACAUUUUGAACAGUAAUUCACAGGAGCAGGGAAUUACCUACAUGUCGAGAGCUCCUCUCCAAGCAGAGUAGGGGAUGUGGCCCAGCUGAAGUCCCCUCUGCUGCCACCUGCUGGCCCCCAAGGCUACUGCAUCACUUUCUGGUACCACAUGUUUGGUGCCACAGUUGGAAGACUAAGUUUAUACCUGCAAGAAACUCAGCCCCUACAGAGGACACUGAUGUGGAAGAGGCAGGGCAUGCAAAGCGACAUGUGGCAGAUGACCCAGAGUCAUGUGACCCUGCAGGAGGUCCAUCAGGUGGUGCGGAGGAACUCUCACGCAGGAAAUCUUAUGGUAAAUGUAUAUUCCAUUCUGAACUUAAAAUUAGCUGCAUCAAAAACGUUACGGUAGUUUGCAAACCCUACAGACUAUUUACAAGGUAAUAAAACUUACAUACAUGUGAAUAUGUGUGCAGAACAGAGAACAGAAAAUCUCCCUCCAUGCAGCUGACCAAAGUUGCCAACCCUGCAUUUAAUUUGGAAUGAGAAGUAAAAUUCAGUUUUCGACUGAAGCGGCUUAUCAUUCCUUUGCUUUGUUACUCUGACAAAUACAAAACGAAUGAAUAAACAUUAUAUGUGUCUCUAUUUGUGUCUUUUCUAAAUA